rnacentral:rRNA from 1 species
UACAGAGGGGGCAAGCGUUAUUCGGAAUUAUUGGGCGUAAAGGGCGCGUAGGCGGCUUGGCAAGUGGAAGGUGAAAUCCCUCGGCUUAACCGAGGAACUGCCCUCCAAACUGCUUGGCUUGAGACCGGGAGAGGUGAGUGGAAUUCCCAGUGUAGCGGUGAAAUGCGUAGAUAUUCGCAAGAACACCAGUGGCGAAGGCGGCUCACUGGCCCGUGAUACUGACGCUGAGGCGCGAAAGCGUGGGGAGCAAACAGG